GAAACGCGAUAAGUAAUGUGAAUAACAGAAUUCAGUGAAUCAUCGAAUCUUUGAACGCACAUCGCGCCUUCCAGUAUCCUGGGAAGCAUGCCGAUCCUAGCGUCGUUUCAACCCUCGAGCCCCCGUGGCCCGGCGUUGGGGAUCUGCCCAGGCAGGCCCCGAAAACCAGUGGCGGACCCGUUACAGGCCCUUCCUUUGCGUAGUAAUACUGCCUCGCAUCGGGAGCCGGCGGGCUUCCAGCCUCUAAACCCCCAGCAAGUCCGCACCGGCGGCACCAAGGUUGACCUCGGAUCAGGUAGGAAUACCCGCUAAACUUAA
rnacentral:misc_RNA from 1 species